rnacentral:tRNA from 1 species
GGACCCGUAGCUUAACUGGAUAGAGCAUCUGACUACGGAUCAGAAGGUUAGGGGUUCGACUCCCUUCGGGUUCA